UGAGUAACCUGCCCUUAACUCUGGGAUAAGCCUGGGAAACUGGGUCUAAUACCUGAUAUGACUCCUCAUCGCAUGGUGGGGGGUGGAAAGCUUUAUUGUGGUUUUGGAUGGACUCGCGGCCUAUCAGCUUGUUGGUGAGGUAAUGGCUCACCAAGGCAACGAUGCGUAGCCGACCUGAGAGGGUGAUCGGCCACAUUGGAACUGAGACACGGUCCAGACUCCUAGGGAGG
rnacentral:rRNA from 1 species